UACGAGAGGCCCAAACGUUAUUCGGAUUUACUGGGCUUAAAGGGCGCGUAGGCGGUCAAUCCAGUCGGGGGUGAAAUCUUGCAGCUUAACUGUAAAAGUGCCUUCGAUACUGAUUGACUCGAGGGAGGUAGGGGCAGGUGGAACUUCCAGUGGAGCGGUGAAAUGCGUAGAUAUCGGAAGGAACACCAGUGGCGAAAGCGGCUUCCUGGUCCAGCACCGACGUUCAGGCACGAAAGCGUGGGGAGCAAACAGG
rnacentral:rRNA from 1 species